UACGGGGGGGGCAAGCGUUGUUCGGAAUUACUGGGCGUAAAGGGCUCGUAGGCGGCCAACUAAGUCGGAUGUGAAAUCCCCAGGCUUAACCUGGGAACUGCAUCCGAUACUGGAUGGCUUGAAUUCGGGAGAGGGAUGCAGAAUUCCAGGUGUAGCGGUGAAAUGCGUAGAUAUCUGGAGGAAUACCGGUGGCGAAGGCGGCUUCCUGGACCGACACUGACGCUGAGGCGCGAAAGCUAGGGGAGCAAACGGG
rnacentral:rRNA from 1 species